rnacentral:sRNA from 1 species
UUCUAGGUUGCGUUAGUGAUUGAAACGGCAUCCUUUUUUUUGCUGCCAUAAAUGGCAAAAAAAAGAUAUAGUGGAAAGCACGACCCUUU